rnacentral:rRNA from 1 species
CCUACGGAUGGCAGCAGUGGGGAAUAUUGGACAAUGGGCGAAAGCCUGAUCCAGCCAUGCCGCGUGUGUGAAGAAGGCCUUCGGGUUGUAAAGCACUUUCAGUGGGGAAGAAAGCCUUGGGGCUAAUACCCUCGAGGAAGGACAUCACCCACAGAAGAAGCACCGGCUAACUCCGUGCCAGCAGCCGCGGUAAUACGGAGGGUGCGAGCGUUAAUCGGAAUUACUGGGCGUAAAGCGCGCGUAGGCGGUCUGAUAAGCCGGUUGUGAAAGCCCCGGGCUCAACCUGGGAACGGCAUCCGGAACUGUCAGGCUAGAGUGCAGGAGAGGAAGGUAGAAUUCCCGGUGUAGCGGUGAAAUGCGUAGAGAUCGGGAGGAAUACCAGUGGCGAAGGCGGCCUUCUGGACUGACACUGCCGCUGAGGUGCGAAAGCGUGGGUAGCAAACAGGAUUAGAUACCCUAGUAGUC